rnacentral:rRNA from 1 species
UACGUAGGGUGCAAGCGUUGUCCGGAAUUAUUGGGCGUAAAGAGCUCGUAGGCGGUUUGUCGCGUCUGCUGUGAAAACUCGGGGCUUAACUCCGGGCCUGCAGUGGGUACGGGCAGACUAGAGUGCGGUAGGGGAGACUGGAAUUCCUGGUGUAGCGGUGAAAUGCGCAGAUAUCAGGAGGAACACCGGUGGCGAAGGCGGAUCUCUGGGCCAUUACUGACGCUGAGGAGCGAAAGCGUGGGGAGCGAACAGG